rnacentral:rRNA from 1 species
UACGGAGGGUGCAAGCGUUGUCCGGAUUUAUUGGGUUUAAAGGGUGCGUAGGCGGCCUUAUAAGUCAGUGGUGAAAGCCCAUCGCUCAACGAUGGAACUGCCAUUGAUACUGUAAGGCUUGAGUACAGACGAGGUAGGCGGAAUUGAUGGUGUAGCGGUGAAAUGCAUAGAUACCAUCAAGAACACCGAUUGCGUAGGCAGCUUACUAGGCUGUAACUGACGCUGAGGCACGGAAGCGUGGGGAGCGAACAGG